UACGAAGGGGGCUAGCGUUGCUCGGAAUCACUGGGCGUAAAGGGUGCGUAGGCGGGUUUUUAAGUCAGAGGUGAAAUCCUGGAGCUCAACUCCAGAACUGCCUUUGAUACUGAAAGUCUUGAGUAUGGGAGAGGUGAGUGGAACUGCGAGUGUAGAGGUGAAGUUCGUAGAUAUUCGCAAGAACACCAGUGGCGAAGGCGGCUCACUGGCCCAUUACUGACGCUGAGGCACGAAAGCGUGGGGAGCAAACAGG
rnacentral:rRNA from 1 species